rnacentral:rRNA from 1 species
GACGAACGCUGGCGGCGUGCUUAACACAUGCCAGUCGAACGGAGUGGCGAACGGGUGAGUAACACGUUGGUGACCUGCCCUGCACUUCGUGAUAAGCCUGGGAAACUGGGUCUAAUACCGGAUAGUGUGGGAUGGGCCCGCGGCCUAUCAGCUUGUGGGUGGGGUCAUGGCCUACCAAGGCGGCGACGGGUGGCCGGCCUGAGAGGGUGGACGGCCACAUUGGGACUGUGACACAGCCCAGACUCCUACGGGAGGCAGCAGUGUGGAAUAUUGCAGGAUGGGCGGAAGACUGAUGCAGCGACGCCGCGUGGGGGGUGACGGCCUUCGGGUUGUAUACUCCUUUCACCAUCGACGCGGUAGAUGGAGAAGAAGCACCGGCUAACUACGUGCCAGCCGCCGCGGUAAUAC